rnacentral:rRNA from 1 species
GAUGAACGCUGGCGGCGUGCUUAACACAUGCAAGUCGAACGGAAAGGCCGAAGCUUGCUUCGGUACCCGAGUGGCGAACGGGUGAGUAACACGUGGGUGAUCUGCCCUGUACUUCGGGAUAAGCUUGGGAAACUGGGUCUAAUACCGGAUAUGACGAUCUCUUGGAUGGGGUUGUGGAAAGCUUUUGCGGUAUGGGAUGAGCUCGCGGCCUAUCAGCUUGUUGGUGGGGUAAUGGCCUACCAAGGCGUCGACGGGUAGCCGGCCUGAGAGGGUGUACGGCCACAUUGGGACUGAGAUACGGCCCAGACUCCUACGGGAGGCAGCAGUGGGGAAUAUUGCACAAUGGGCGCAAGCCUGAUGCAGCGACGCCGCGUGGGGGAUGACGGCCUUCGGGUUGUAAACUCCUUUCGCAAUCGACGAAGCCUUUUGGUGACGGUAGGUUGAGAAGAAGCACCGGCUAACUACGUG